UGACAAUGAGUAUAUGACCACUGUGCAAUCUGAGUCCUGAGAACCAGAUGACAGAGUGUGCUGAGCACAGACUGAUGCCA
ensembl:scaRNA